UUCUAAUUGGAUGAUAACUAUCAUGUGUCAUGUUCUGAUUGGAUGUCAACUCUAUGAAAGAUAAAAUGCAUUGUUAUUUUCAUUGACCAAUCAUAACAUGACACAUGUCAAUCAUAGUCU
rfam:Glycine soja cultivar W05 scaffold3432_12, whole genome shotgun sequence.